AACCUCGCUGUGUUAACUUGUCAUGUUAUUUCGAUAAUUAUUCGAUGAAAUCAGAGUGAACACAGCUGGUGGUAUCU